ACUGCCAGAAGAGAGACAGGAACGGGAGAUGUAGGGGAAGGAUGAAUCUGGAUGUCCUGUUUUCUCUCCCAG
ensembl:miRNA